AUGCUUGCAUCUUUUAAAGAGUCUAGUGGGGAACGGGUGAGUAACACGUGGGUAACCUACCUUAAAGUGGGGGAUAACACUUGGAAACAGGUGCUAAUACCGCAUAACCAUCAAAACCGCCUGGUUUUGAUGUUAAAGAUGGUUCUGCUAUCGCUUUAAGAUGGACCCGCGGCGUAUUAGCUAGUUGGUGAGGUAACGGCUUACCAAGGCAAUGAUACGUAGCCGAACUGAGAGGUUGAUCGGCCACAUUGGGACUGAGACACGGCCCAAACUCCUACGGGAGGCAGCAGUAGGGAAUCUUCCACAAUGGACGAAAGUCUGAUGGAGCAACGCCGCGUGAGUGAAGAAGGUUUUCGGAUCGUAAAACUCUGUUGUCAGAGAAGAACGUGUGUGAGAGUAACUGUUCACGCAGUGACGGUAUCUGACCAGAAAGUCACGGCUAACUACGUGCCAGCAGCCGCGGUAAUACGUAGGUGGCAAGCGUUGUCCGGAUUUAUUGGGCGUAAAGGGAACGCAGGCGGUCUUUUAAGUCUGAUGUGAAAGCCUUCGGCUUAACCGAAGUCGGGCAUUGGAAACUGGGAGACUUGAGUGCAGAAGAGGAGAGUGGAACUCCAUGUGUAGCGGUGAAAUGCGUAGAUAUAUGGAAGAACACCAGUGGCGAAAGCGGCUCUCUGGUCUGUAACUGACGCUGAGGUUCGAAAGCGUGGGUAGCAAACAGGAUUAGAUACCCUGGUAGUCCACGCCGUAAACGAUGAAUGCUAAGUGU
rnacentral:rRNA from 1 species